rnacentral:rRNA from 1 species
UCAGGACGAACGCUGGCGGCGUGCUUAACACAUGCAAGUCGAACGAAGCUUGAUUACGGAUUCUUCGGAUGAAGUAUGAUAUGACUGAGUGGCGGACGGGUGAGUAACGCGUGAGUAACCUGCCCUUCAGAGGGGGAUAGCGUUUGGAAACGAACGGUAAUACCGCAUAAAGUAUUUUGACCGCAUGAUCGAAAUACCGAAGAUUUAUCGCUGAAGGAUGGACUCGCGUCUGAUUAGGUAGUUGGUGGGGUAACGGCCUACCAAGCCGACGAUCAGUAGCCGGACUGAGAGGUUGAUCGGCCACAUUGGGACUGAGACACGGCCCAGACUCCUACGGGAGGCAGCAGUGGGGAAUAUUGCACAAUGGGCGCAAGCCUGAUGCAGCAACGCCGCGUGAAGGAAGACGGUUUUCGGAUUGUAAACUUCUGUUCUUAGUGAAGAAUAAUGACGGUAGCUAAGGAGCAAGCCACGGCUAACUACGUGCCAGCAGCCGCGGUAAUACGUAGGUGGCAAGCGUUGUCCGGAAUUACUGGGUGUAAAGGGAGCGCAGGCGGGUGAUCAAGUCAGCUGUGAAAACUACGGACUUAACCCGUAGACUGCAGUUGAAACUGUUCAUCUUGAGUGAAGUAGAGGUUGGCGGAAUUCCGAGUGUAGCGGUGAAAUGCGUAGAUAUUCGGAGGAACACCGGUGGCGAAGGCGGCCAACUGGGCUUUAACUGACGCUGAGGCUCGAAAGUGUGGGGAGCAACCAGGAUUAGAUACCCUGGUAGUCCACACUGUAAACGAUGAUUGCUAGGUGUGGGGGGUCUGACCCCUUCCGUGCCGGAGCUAACGCAAUAAGCAAUCCACCUGGGGAGUACGACCGCAAGGUUGAAACUCA